UAAAAAAUAAUAUUUUAUUCUAUAAUUUAAAAAUUUGCACUUAUUUGAUACUUCUCUUUUUAUGAUUAUUUUUUUUAUCAAAUAUUUUUUUUUUGGGAUUUUUUGCAUUUUCAAAAACAAACAUUUUUAAUUCACCUAAACUAAGAAAUAAUCUAAAAUGUAAGAAAUCAUUAAAAAUAUAUCAAAACACUUCAGAAAAUGUCAGCUACAUUAAUAUAGUGGAAGUUCUCUAACUCGAAUCACCAUAAUCUACAAAAAAACUUCAAGUUAGAGAGACUUUGAGUUAUAGAAUUUUCAUUAAAAUAUACAAUUUCUCAAAAAGGAAAGUCCGAUUUAUGGAUGGAAAUUGAAAUUUAACUACUAUUGCCAAUUCAAACGUUCCAGUUAUGGAGAAUUUUGAGUUAUGGAAAUUCAACUGUAUUUUGAUGUUUUUUUUUCAAAUAUGCUUUUAAAAAUAUUUUCAAUUCACCUGGUUUUAUGAAAAACUUCAUUAAAAAUAUAAUGAAACUCUUUAGAAAAUGUCAUAUACAUUAAUAUUUAAAAUAUAUACAUACAUACAUACAUAUGUAAACGAUUUUUUCAAGUUUACGAUUUUUUAUGAGUUUAUCAAAGUCCUCGCUCUUGCUUUAAGAGCCCUAAAUUACAAACAUUUAAUAAAAAAAUUAUAAUUCAAAAGUAUUUAAAUCAUUUUUUUUAUUACCAAUGGCUCUAUUUAGUUGCACGCAACUGUAAGAAAUUAUAUAAAAUAUUUUAGUAUAAAUUUUAUAAAAAAAUAACUUAUUGCGAAGAAUAUAUGAAGUAAAAUGAGUCAUUAUAUCUACAUAUAAUAUUUUAAAAGCAUAUAUAAAUUUAAUCUAUCUGUGUUCUCGGUUGUUAACUCACAAAUUAACAGCAUUUAAGGUUAUUAAACAGACGAAGGUGUUAAUUGUUUUAAAUGACAUUCAUUUCAUACAAAUACGUCAUACACUUAGGUAGGUCAAGGCACUAAAUAACAAACGUCAAAUGCAUUUAGGGCACUGACUUUUUACAUGUCAAAUAUUAUAUCAAAUCCGCGUUUUAAUUUCGCCACUUUUUACAGUGAGUCAAAUAAUAUAUUUACAAUUUUGAAAGAGGUGAUUGUAAUAUUCAUAAUCGUACUUGACUUAAGGUUACAGUAAACAUUUGGAAUGGGUGUUAUACUUAUCUUUGGAUUGUAUACAUAUAUUUUGUUAUAAUUUGCUGUACAGAAAAUCAUAUUUCGAACCAUAUUAAAUUAAAAACAAGAAAAAACGUUAACUUCGGCUGUACCGAAGCUAAUACACCCUUCAAAGGUACAUUUCUUUUAGUAACUAUGUUUUUAAGCAAAUCUAAAGAAAAAAUUUUACUAAUUCUUUUUAGCCGGGUUGUUUUCUAGAAACAUUAAGGUUAUAUAGUUAACCGAUCUGAACAAUUUCUUCGGAGAUUAUAUUAUUACCUUAAGCAGUAAUCCAUGUAAAAUUUCGUGAAUAUACCACGUCAAAUGCGAAAAUUUUCCAUACAAGCCAUUGAUUCCGAUCGUUCGGUUUGUAUGGCAGCUAUAUGCUAUAGUGAACCGAUCUAAACAAUUUUUUCGGAGAUUAAAUUAUUUCUAUGAACAAUAACUCACACCAAAUUUCGUGAAGUUAUGUGGUAAAAUGCGGAAGUUGUCCAUACAAGCCCUUGAUUCCGAUCGUUCAGUUUGUAUGGCAGCUAUAUGAUAUAGUGGUCCGAUAUCGGCAGUUCCGACAAAUGAGCAGCUUCUUGAAGAGAAAAUAAUAUCUGCAAAAUUUCAAAACGAUAUCUUAAAAACUGAAGGACUAGUUCGUAUAUAUACAGACGGACAGACAGACGGACAUGGCUAAAUCGACUCAGCUCAACAUACUGAUCAUUUAUAUAUAUACUUUAUAGGGUCUCCGACGCUUUCUUCUGGGUGUUACAAACAUCGUGACAAACUUAAUAUAUCCUGUCUGUUCAGGGUAUAAAAAAUUUAAAUUGGUUUAGGUGGCAACUCUCUUAUUUUCUUCUUAAGUUUUUUUGAUGAUUUUAAUAUUAAAUUUAGUCUCUCACUUUACUAACUGAAAAAAAAAUUAAAUAAAAAAAAAUAGCUGGCAACUCUACUUUACUGGCUUUCUUACAAAACUUUCCUUCUAAACAUAUGUUUGGCUUAGAUUAGCUUAUAAAUUCUAUAUUUCCAGCGUUUGUAUGUACUCUAACAUCACUGCCGUUAGUAUUUUGAACCCAAAAAAUCAAAUACAAUCGCUGCAACGGUAUUUAUAGAUAACAUACAUACAAACAUAUAUACAGACAUAUGUACAAAACAUUCCAAUAUGAAGUUAGCAAUAAGACCUUUUCUUUCCGAUCAGAAAAAAACACCAAUUGUUUGUAUUUCCUUAUUAUUUUGGAAGAAAGGCGGAAAGCAAGGCAAGAGAAGAAAGAAAGGUUUGUAUGCCUCAUUUCUCUAGCGCAUAGUAUUUGUGUUAACCUAAAAAUGUCUGGCUUACGUUGCUUAUUGCUUUAACUAACGAUUGUAGGCUUACAAACAUACACACACACCACAAAGUGUCGAUAAUUUCCUUACCAAAUUCCGCAUACGAAAUUCUGAUAUUCUUCUCAACAACAUCCAUUCACUUUCUUCCGCUUUCUGCACUGCUGCGCUGCCGCUGCUACUUCUUCAACAUCACCCAACUCUGCUUCUGCUGCUUCUUCCUCUUAUUUUGCUGCUGCCAAGCAUGCUUCUUGGCCUUUUGUUCACACAAACUUUUUGAUAGCCAUAAAUAUAAAGCCAAAAACAAAAAAGGCGAACAUUAACCUGCACAGCAGCAGCAACAGCAACACAAGUAACAAUAACAACAACAACACCAAUAACAACAAGCAGCGCAAACUUUUUGUUGACAGCUGACAAUGAUUUGCCAUUGUUGGGCGAGCGCAGUUUGAAGGCCAGCAGCGCGGGGGGGCGGUCGCUCGCAUAUGUAAGAGUUCAGCAAUUGUUUCUCUGUAUGUAUGUAUGUGUGUGUGUAGUAGUGAAGCCAGUUUGCUGCUCGGUGCUCUUAUUUGCAUUUUCGCUUCCGACUCGGCCAAGUCAAGUUGACCGCUGAACCACAUAGUGUUUUGACUUCUAAAUGCUGGUGCUGCUGCUGCUCGCAUUGGUGUUGUUGUUGUUGGUAUUGCGGCUGCUUUUUCAGUGUUUAUUGUUUUUACUAGCGCGUUGUAGUUGUUUCUGUGCUGUGCUGCACAUCGGCAUCGUCAACGGUUGCUCGGCAGCAGCAUUGAAACAAACCAACAGCAAGAGCAACAACAACAACAACUAUAACAACACGAAUAAGCAGCAGUGAGCUCUUAACAGGUUCAUUGCACUCAGCGUCGCUGCCACCGCACCGCACUCACGCAGCGCAGUCGAGCGAACAGCUUCAAUUCACUCCAAUUCUUUGGCUGCACCCGCUUGCCGCUCCAACAACAAAUUGUGGCUCUCCACUUGGUGUGUGUGUGUGUGGAGUUCUUUCUUUUUUUUCUUUCUUAAGAAAAGCUGUGCGCGCUGCACCUCUUUCUUUUCACAGGCGCUGCUGCAUGGCCCUCACGCUCUCCAUUCCCCUCCUCCACACACACUUUUGGCAUUCUUAUUAAUAUGCUUCGCUUUAAUGUUUAUUAUUGUUGUUGUGGUUUUUGUUUUUCUUGUUGCUGUUGUGGUCUUUUACCGAUUGUGCGAACUUCUUUGACUUCUGUGGCGACUUUUUCUUCCUCUGGUACUGCUGCUGCUGCUUCUACUUCUUCUUGUACUUCGUUAACAUACAAUAUUUUUGUUGUUGCCUGCUUGCCAGCCUUUCUGCCGAAUUAUUUGUUGUGCUUUAGUACGCCAAACAAGUUGGCGGCUCGCCAUUUGCUUGGCCGUGCAAAACAAGUAAGAGUCAGCCAAAAAAUGUUCUGAAGGAACUUAAGGAACUUUUAAAUGCAACAUAAAUACACGCGCAGAAGAAGAAGAAAGAAAGAAAGAAAGAGGCAAAGCAGCAGACUGCAACAAGCACACAGCACAGUUAUUGCAGCAAGUUGUUGUUCUUCGUUCGUUCGUUCUUUAACCGGUUUGCCGGCCGAAAACGUCUUCAUUAUCGACAUUUUAGUCGCUCAGUUACCAUCGCCAACCAGGCGAACAGACCAGACCAGGCCAGACCAGGCCAGACCAGCACUUGUAGACGCGCUGCUCUUGUGCAAUGUUUCCUCGCUGCAAUUCUUGCGAAAACUGCAGUAAAUGUGUGCGAGUGAUUGAACCCUGUAGGGAUUCAUCAACUGACUUCAAAAUAAUUUUAUAAAAAAUAUUCUCGACUGUUUGGAAUAUGUUGCAUAACAGUGGAUUGAUUUUAACAUUUUAACACCUGUUCAUAAUUUCGACUAAAUCAUGUUUGGUGUAUGUAAUUUCACUGAUUGUCAUUAUAAUUACCAAACAACAAUAAUUUAGAUGUUAAAAAGAAUAUUAUUUUUAACAAAAAAAAAUGUUUGAAAUGAAAUUUUCGAAAAUUCAAAAAUAUAUAUAUUUUUUUUUUAAUUUUAUUUGCCUGAGUUGUAGAGUCUUUUUCAAAAUUUGUUCGUUUUACAAUUACAUUUCAUGUAAGUUGUAACAAAUAUUACUCAUAAUAAGAAUAUUUUAUUACAUUUUAAUUAUAUACCAACUGAACUGUCACAAUAAAUUUCAUUAUGUGUCAAAUAAAUUACUUACUUUAAUGUAAAUCCACAUCAUUUAUGCAACGACAUUUAAGUUAAAUUUAGUAAUUUAAGCUCUAAUAUGAACAUACUUUAAGGAAGUGUCUCAAAUAGUAACUUACGAGCCAUACAAUGAUCUUUGCUAUAAUUUGCGGAGCUAAUUUCUAUCGACUUUCGAUAGUUUUGUCAAUUUAUUGUUUCAUAUAUUGAAUAAAGUACUCUCAGAGCAAUUAAUGUGACCAAUAAAUGCAGUUCUAAUUAUAAGAACUUGAGUAAAAGUAUAGUAAAUUUGGGUAUUCUGCUGUCUCAAGAAGAUCUUGAUUGUUUUUAAACUUUGUGGAAACCGGAUGAUUAAAGAAUCCUAUCUUUAGUAGUUUGUUGGCUUCCUAGAGAACAUCUGUGAGGAAAAACUUAAACAUUUUAACAUUUGUGCCUUUUAAAGACUUCGUCACUAACUACUAAUUAAUUCCUUUUGGUGUUUGGACUAAAAGUCAGAGGCAUUGCUGAAGAUUUAGUUCAAAUUAUAUGAGACUCUGAUCUUUUUUCUGGUUUGCUGAAGCAAUUCAUGCAAGAUUUUACUGUCUUAGUUCAUAUCGAACUACACUAGAAGCAUUCAGACUAUUAUGCCCGGUUUCACAGUUCGUACUUAAGUUGUGCCCAAAUAAAAUCUUAGCUAAGCAUUGUUGUUGACUGAGUAGUCAUUUGCGUUUCACAGUCGAUGCUUAUUUUCUUUAAAAUUCUAUUAUGAUAUAUGGCAGCACAAUGAAAAAGAUUUGUUUACAAAUACCAUCUGACAAAUUGAAAUUAUUGUUGAUGAAAAAUAACUUUGCGAUGAAUAAAUGUAGAAUCUGGGAAAUGGAUGGAAACAAUAAAAGGACACCGAAUUUCACCGCAAGCGAGUGGGGCACCUAUUGCAACUCGCAGGAAAGCAUAUAACCGUCAUUGAAUGCAAGAAAUUCCAAAAAAAUUUUCAGCAAAUAUUUUUUAUUUUAUUUUUUUGACAAAUAAGUCAAUAUUCAAAACAAAAAUCAGCUGUUACUUAAGCACUGCUUAAAUCUCCUAUUUUCAGUACUUAAGCAGAACUUAAGUAUGAACUGUAAAACGCAAUAUUUCUGUUUUAUCUUAAGCACUACCUAAGCACUGACUGUGAAACCGGGCAUUAUAAUUUUCACUCGAACUCCAUGACAGGGUCAGCCUCAGAACCUAACCUAACUUAACUAUGGCAUAAAAGCGUAUUUACCGACUAUUACAGUGUUUUAGAAACAGUGGACUAUAGGGUCUUUGCCAUAGAGACACAAAUACUUAUUUUGACAGCCAAAUGAUUCCGGAAAAUUUUUAUAUAUGUAUGUUACAAAAUAUAUUGAGAAAUUUAUCCUCACUUUUGAUUACAUCGAAGAAUAAACCGAUUGCAGUCUGAGAACUGUGAUACUAAAUCUUACUUUUUAAUUUCUUUAAAGAAUUUGUUGAUUAAACCGAUAACGGUACUAGGACACUAUAAUUGAUAAUAUAUAAGAUCUGUCUAGGUGAGUUCUUCACGUGGAAAGCUGUUUUUUCGUACUUUUCUCUUUACGCAAAGAGAAGAAAAAAGGUCCUAAAGGGUCGUCGUUCUAUCAGCAUAUGAGAAAUCACUGAAAGAGCAAAAGACUAUCCGAAAAAUUGAAAUUGAGAAAUGUUUCGACGGUUGAAAGAAACGCUGGCAUAAGUGCAUAAUAUCGAACUGAGACUAUUUUAAAGGUGACAACAUUAUUUCUGAUGAAUGAAUAAAAAUUUUUUCAAAACCAAAAAUUCCCGUUAUUUUUUGAACACCCACUUUUCCUUCUCCAAUGUUUAAAGCUUGAAGCAAUGCCAACAGUUCGUAUCUUAAAUAUAAUAUUUUCGCCACAUUUAGUAAUGGACUUCUUAAUUAUAAAAGAACAACUAAACAAUAAAAUAUAUAUUUUUAUAAAAAUUGAAUUUCGCCCUGCUGGGUAGAUGUACCUUUAAAUAUAAAUACUUUUCAAUUUGCGUACACUUAAACGAGACGACAAACAUACGAGCGCAUACGAGUCGAGUAUGAGUAUGAGGUUGGUGUGUUAUGUCAGUACCCUUGCUUGCAGCCAGUACCUGUUUAUAGCACUUCCAAACUCACUCACACAUACAUACACAAUGCACAUAUGAAUGCUUGUACGCUUGUGUUGUCGUCUCUACAUAUAUGCAUUUCCUGCAUAAUCUUUUGUAAAAGAAAGCACUGAAAAAUUACGGCAAAAAACCACAGCAGCAACAACAGUGAUUGCAACGACGAAAGCAUUCGCCGCCGCCGCCGCCACACAACCAUCACCAGUUUUGCAAGUAAUUGCACUCAAGCGGAAGGGUUAUAUUGGGGCAACAGAGUCGACACUAACACCAAUAACAACAACAACAACAGCAGCAACAGCAGCAACACAAGUGACUGCAAAGCGACAAAAACACACCAACUAAAUAGCAGACAGACAGACAGGAGCAAUGCACUGCUACUGUUGACUUUACGCCAAGCAAAUGCAAGCGCAAGAGGCAGGAAACUUUCGACAGCAAGGGUAAAGGCAUGCUUAAAGCAAGAACAUGCAUGUAACCUGAGACUUACAUAAAUGUGGUCUUAUGCCGCUUUAGUUGGUGUAUGUGUGUGUGUGUGUGUGCAUGUAAAAAUCGUGUAGUAUUAUUUAAAGGACGUGUUAAAAUGCAAAAACAACAGCAACAAAAAUUUCAACACAUUUAACUUUUAAUUUACAGCACACCUUUAACGAUCAUUGCGCUUCCGCGCUGAGCAAACAAGAUCAAUUAGUCACCUUCGCUUUUUUGUUGGUGUUAUUGUUUUUUUUUAUGUUUUACUGCACGGAAGUUCAUAUCACUUAUAAUUAGCAUUUUUCGGUUAAUGAAGUUGCAUUUCAAUUUUAUCGAUGUACUUUAACUUGUAGUUGCAAUAAGCCAUGAGCAGGCUGUAAGUAAUGAAUUAUUUUAGAUUUAACAAAAAAAAAAAUAAUAUUGCUUUAAACCGGUCUGAGUAAUCUGUUACGAUUUACGAAUUUUUCGAUCUCAAGUUCAUUUGUGUCUUUAAGCGGAUUCUUAUCUGAAAUUAAAUCGUUUUCGAGUACUUUUGGCACAAUCGACCUCUGCUGGGCAACGAACCUUCUCAGAGGUUAUAAACUGAUAUAGUCAAAGCAAUACCAUCAAGAAGCUUCCUAUACACAUCCAGCAGCUAUAGAACCUUGGAAGUUUCUGAAGUAAAAAAGUAACACUUGAACACUUAGGCUAUACAUAUGUAGGUGGAAAAGUCUUUAAGGGGUUAUAACAGUGUAACCCAUGACAAAUUUGGCGAUUUUCGUGGAUUUUUUUUUAUAAGAAAGUACUCGAACGAAUGUUGCAAAGUUUUUUGUAUAUAAUAAGGUAUAUUUUCAGAAAUAUUAAUACCCUGAACAGGGUAUAUUAAGUUUGUCACGAAGUUUGUAACACCCAGAAGGAAGCGUCGGAGGCCCUAUAAAGUAUAUAUAUAAAUGAUCAGUAUGUUAAACUGAGUCGAUUUAGCCAUGUCCGUCUGUCUGUCUGUCCGUCCGUCUGUCUGUAUAUAUACGAACUAGUCCUUCAGUUUUUAAGAUAUCGUUUUGAAAUUUUGCAGAUGUUAUUUUCUCUUCAAGAAGCUGCUCAUUUGUCGGAACUGCCGAUAUCGGACCACUAUAUCAUAAAGCUACCAUACAAACUGAACGAUCGGAAUCAAGGGCUUGUAUGGAAAACUUCCGCAUUUUACAACAUAUCUUCACGAAAUUUGGUGUGAGUUAUUGUUCAUAGAAAUAAUUGAAUCUUGGGGAAAAUUGUUCAGAUCGGUUCACUAUAGCAUAUAACUGCCAUACAAACAUAGUUACUAAAAGAAAUUGACCUCUGAAGGGUAUAUUAGCUUCGGUACAGCCGAAGUUAACGUUUUUUCUUGUUUUGAAAUAUUUUUUUUACAAAAAUAUUGAAAAAUAACAGUGUUAUGUGCUGCCAACUGUUGGCAUGAUUCCGGCCGAAUGAGUAGCUGAAACAAAAAAGUUCAAAAAGGUUUUAAAAGUUGAAGGCAUUUCCUAUACAAUGACCUAGAGUUUUUGAAAAAUAUCAAAAAUUAACAAAAUGACGUAGUUUUGAAAAAAGGUCGUUUUUAAUGCCAAAAUGACAACAAAUCAAAAAUAUCAUAGGCCAUUGUAUAGUAAAUAUAUUCAAGUAUACUCAAUUUCAAUUUGAAGUCGAUGGGUCAAUUUCUUGUUGAGUUAUGAUGUCAGCAAUUUUAAGAAAUGUCGUUUUUUAAAAACGUGUUUAAAGUUUCGACUAUAGCUGCUUGUACCAGCGAGCGGUCGAUCUUUAAAACGCUGCCAUUCAAAGACUAAUCAAGAUACUAUCUUACCGCUUUCACAGAUUAUUUUUGAAAGUAUUAACUAUCGAAUAAGCAAAAAACGAUUUGUUGAAAGUAUCGUACUGGUAUAGCCCCUUAAUACUACAGGACUAAACUAUAUAUAUGCGCAUAUUGAUGAAGAAAAAAAGGACGAAUAUUAUUUUAUAUGAAAAUUACCUUAUUUAAGCCAUAAAUCGAAUGAUCUCAUCUGCCUUAAUUAGAUAGUCUAUCGAAAACAUUCUGCAUUAUAAAUAACAAGGAAUAAAAAUGAAAAGAAAACUCUCAAAAAUCAUUACGAUUUCAAUAAUGAAAUGAACUUUCCAAAUUCUGUAAAUAUCAAACCUUGAAUUAGCAUUUACACUGUUUUGUCGAAGGAAUGAAUCAAAAUAAAUUAUUUUGCAAUUGGAAGAAAAUUAUGCUUUUGAAGGACUUUAUACAAUUUGAUACCUAUAGAUUGGUCUAACCUUAUCUACAAGUGACCCCAUAUGACCUUAUUAAUGGUUAGCUCUUUAAAAAAUUCUCCAAAUAAAUCCAAGAGAGGGGAUCAGAAAUCAAUUUAUGCAGAAAAACAUAACCUAAAAAUAUCAUUUUUAAAAAUUCAGUGGACAAACCUAACCUCAAUUUAAUAUUUAUAUUUUUAGAAGGAACUAUAUCAUCUGGAGCAUUUUUAUAAGUCACUACCAAGUAACAAAAGAGCAAAAUAUGGAUUUUAUUCAAUUAGUUUCUUGAGUUAAUCUUAGCUUUUUAUCGAACCUACAUUGGAAAAAAAGUUUUUGUCAAAUUCUGAAGAUAAACAUAACCCCAAAAUAGCAUUUUUGAACAAAUCUAUCGAUAAACCUAAACACAAUAUAAUUUUUUGCUGCAACUUUCUAGAAUAAAAACAAUUUUUUGAGAGCAUUAGAGCUUAGAUGAAUUUUUUUUAACCUAAUCUCAAUUUAUGAUUUUUUUUAAUAUAAAAAGAUGGUUUUAAGUACAAAUUGAUGCUUAAAGAUUUUAGAGAGUUUUUUUUAAACUGAUUACCUUUUGUUUUGCUAACAACUCUUAUAUUUUUUAAGGGUUGCCAAAAUCAUCCAUUAAUUUAAUAAAAAAAAAAUCGGAAAAAAAUCAGUGCACUGGACUCACUAAAAAAAAAAUGAAAUUAUGUUAAUAGAACUUUUGUCCUUAAUGUCAUGCAUUCACUUUCCUCACCGGUUUCAAUAACAAAUGAUGAGUGAUCGAUGUGUGUGUGCUCAUAUCAAAUUUCAAAUAUACCCUUCGCAGAAGAAUGAUUUUGUCCCCACAUUGACAUGCCAAUUGGAAAAGUCAGCCUUGCCGCCCCAAAUACCCCGAAUUCGCUGUCUGUCUGCAUAACUACUCAGUGUAGGCUUGGCAGCAUUCACGGUCUCAUUUUUUAUUAAUAUUUGCGCUAUUCCUCUUUUUUCAUGCCUUUUGUGCUGUUGUUGUUGUUGUAGACACACACAUACUAUACACUCUGGGUAUAUUGUACAUUAUUGUGUUGACUUAAGUAAUUCAAUGUUUGCUAAUUUUCGGUAGUGCUUGACUUUUGAGCCGCCAUUGCCCGCUAACAAACGCCCCUACCCACUCGCAAAUGCGACACGCAAACGCUCGCAAACAUUAUGCGAUGCACACACACAUACAUCUACUUAUGUAUGUAUUUUUGGUAUUUUGUUUAUUUUCUGCUUUUGCUUGUGUUCUGCUGCUUCGUUUUUUUAGUUUUAUUGCAUACAUAUUUGGUGUGGCGGCACAAGGACAAAUGUUGCUUAUGCUAAUGAACUCUCAUCCUGCCAAACUGUAGUCGAUUUGUUGUUGUUGUUUUAUUCUUAAAUAUUUCUCUUGCCUGCUACUGUUGCUAACUGUUUUGUGUUUGUAUUUGUUGUAUUGUUGUACUCGUGCAAACAAUAUUUGUAAUCUGCUUGUUGUUGUUAUUUGCUCGCUUUACAUUUGCUUUUGUUUCUCGCUUUGCACCGAUGCUGCUGCUGCUGCCGUGGCACAAAAGCAAUGAGCAGGCAUAUAUUAAGUUGGUAAGGAAAGUGAAAACUUUUAGCAAAACUUGCAGAAAUUUUAUUUAUUUAUUUACUUUGGUUGUUUGGUUGGUUGCUGUUUGCUCCUCUGCAUACUGAUGCGCGAGAACACCAACGUUGCAAUGGACAGACAGAUUCCUACAAGGGCAAGUGGGUUAACAAAUAUUUGUACAGUGAAGCGCAUAUUUUUUUGGGAACCAAGUUGGAAAUUGUUAUUUUUUGUUUUUGUGUGUUUGUAGAAAAAAGGAGUUAAUGAUGUUAAUUCUGGAGAAUUGAAGUCAAAAUUUUAUUUUUAUUUUAUAUUUUUAUGUUUCUUUAAUCAUAAAACAACUCUGUAUAACUUUUGCUUUCUUCUAAACUCAUUAGAUCAGUCCUUUUUAUAAAGGUGGUCGAAUGAUUUAAGUAUAACUUCAACUUUCUAUUGUGUCAUCUGAUCUAGAAUAGAACCAAACCUUUUCCGAAACAAAUUUGUUCAAAUUUUGGGAAUCGUAAAAGUAAUUUUAUGUUUCCAGAAAUCAAAUGCUUAAACCUCAGCGGUUAAUUAAUAAAAUUAUUGAAAUUAUCUUUGUCUCGACAGCAUCUGAUUUCUAAAAUUUUUCCUUACUUUUCUGGAUAAGACUUAUCGCCCUUCCAGCAAAUGGGUUCGAUCUACAAGACGCAGUGUAUAAGACCAUAAUUUAAGCCACAGUUAGAGUGUAUAUCGCAUUCCCUUAGAAAUAAAAUGCCUAGUACUUUUCAACUAGUAUUGUCUAUCUUCAGUUGGUUCUCUGCUUGAAAAAAAGGUUUUUUUAGGGUAGAAGUUGAAAUAAAGCGAUCGAUUUUCGUCUCGAUUAGACUUCACGUAAUCUCUAAAGAUAAUUGCUAAUUACUUCAUUGAAGACCUCCCUGUUGACGUUCAAUUCUGCAGAAUAGCUUCUUCAAACAUGUUCCAUAGUUUCAAGAACCACUGAAGAGUGUCAUAAGAACUCACAGAACUAUUAAAAGUUGUAUUCAAUGAAAGAAUUGUUUUAUUAAAAAGCUCCAUUUUACACGACUCGAGACUGGUGUAAAUUCUUCCCGAUAUCUCACCAAACUGAGACCAUAGUUCAUUCGAAAAAGGUUUGGUUUUGAGUCAUGAGCUGUGGUAUGGUUUAAGGUAUUACUUUAGACAUUAAAUUUCUCAAGAAUCUAGAAAAAAUAUUUCGAAGACAUGUUUUAUAGGUUUUCGGAACCACAAAAAGAUACCACCAGAAAGAAAAUCUAUUAUUAGCAAUAUGCUAUGGAGGUUUAAUUCUAUCAUUGGCAUUAUUGAUUUAUUAGUAAAAUGUAAAAAUUUAUCGAACUUCGAGUCUCGAAGACCAAUAUUCUGUGCGUUUGUUCCAAUAAUUGUGUUCCAUGAUCUUUUGGUUAACUUUUUCGCAUUUCUUUUCAUAACCGAAUCUGCGAAUAUUGUUUAUACUCAUCAAUUUCAAGAUUAUUGCAGCCGAAGCAUCGAGGAAUCUAAUUGAAAGCGUGUAAGAAAGCAAGUUAAAGCUUGAGCUCUUGGGUAUUUCAAAAGAUUGUCUGUCAAAUAUUAUAUUUUAUAAUACUAAGAUUUAUUUACAAAAAUAAAAUAUCUUAAUUCGCUCACUAACUCCAUUUCACAGCAGUUCCAUUAAAAAUCAUUCCACUUCCACCAACAAUCAGCACUGUAUCCAUUGUUAAGAAAUCCCAGCGAUUUUUUCUGAAAAUUUCCAUCACCUUUUUGGCAACAUUUCUAUUUUUUUACCCCAAUUUCUAUUGAGCACGUAAAAAAAAAUGAAAAAAAAACUGAAAAAAAAAAUUAUAUUUAUAUUUACUUUAUUCAUUUCCUUAAUUCACCUUCACCGCCAUUGCCAACCAGCGUUCACAACGCUCACUCUAAGCCUUGUCGCCAUUGUGUGACGGGCGUUCAAAUCGAUUUGUGCUUUAUUCGUACUUAUCAAUCUUGCGAAGCUGUUAACAUUUCUCAAGCAAAAAAACACGAAGUAAAAUGAAAAAUAAAAAUAAAAAGAAAACAACAAAAAAGGUUAGAAAUGGCCUACCGAAAGCCGUGUGCAGUUCAAGGUCGCGCAAUGCACGCACGCACACGCACCGCGCCGCACCGUGUGCAGCCUACAUACAAAUGAGGUGGCUGGAAAAAACACGAAAAAUACAAUAAUUACAACAACAACAACAGACAAAUCACAUAAAUAAAUAAAUAAGUAGACAACGAAAAGCCGAAAAGGCUAUACAAGUAGCAACAACAACAGAGGUGCUCGGUGUGUGAUUGCACAAGCCGCCCUAUACCGCGCCGUUCAACAGCGCGCCACCGCCGCGUGCGCUUGCUCGCAUGCAGUUAGGCGCUUAAGCUUGCAAUUUGUUUUGUUGAAUAUAUACAUAUGUAGAGACGCACAGCUGUUUCAUAAGCGCCGUGUUGAUACCUAUGCGCCAUGGCGAAAUUUUCUGCAAACUACAACAACAACAAAUAUAUUUUGUAAUAAAAAUAAAUAAAUUAUUACCAAUUUGCAUUCCGCAGCUGCUGCUGAGGGCUCUGAGGAGGCAAUCAUAUGCAUAUAAUAUACAUACAUAUAUCCUCAAUCCACUACAAAAGCAACAAUAAAAAGCGCUACAAAAAUAUUCACGCUAAAUACCUGAACUGAACGCGCUGUGGCAACACCACCUAAACAGCAAACAACAAACGGUGCGUGCGGACCAGUAAGCCGCGCGACAAAAGUGAAGCUUCAGCGCAGAGAUAUGCGAAAGUAAUGAAAACAAAAAAAUAAACACAACAACAACUAUCUGACUAAGCGCGUCACAUACACACACACACACACAAAUAAUCUACUUACCACAAAGUAUCAUCGUAUUGGUUAGUCACAAUGCCGCGCGGCAGCGCGUUGAAUGUGAAAUUCGAAAAAAAAGAAAAAAAUUAACACGAAAAAGAAUGAAAUCAAAUAAAACGCAGCCAAGCUCGGCGCGACGUCAGACAAAUAGCGAAAUAGUACCGCUAAAAUUAAUAAAAAGUAACAGCAACAAAAACGGUAUUUGUAGUAAAACGGCCAAUAAACUGUGAGCGCUGAGUUCAAGGCCUAGCCAAAUGGCAAAAGCAACAACCGAAAACAGACGUGAAAAUAAAAACAACAACAACAAUGCAAUGAAAUACACACAAUGGAAUUGGGUAAACGCUAUAAUAAAAGCACGCGCUCAACGCAAAAUUCGACGCGCGGCGGCAACGCACAAAACAGCAAGCAAAAUGAAAAAAAAAAAAAAUACUAAUACUAGCGAAAAAAAAGUGAUUAUGAUUAUAAAAUGGCAGAGAAAGAAAAUAAAAUAGAGAAAAUAUACAUAAAACGCAACACGGCAUAACGCACACGCUUGUGAAAUUAAAAAAAAAAAAAAAAAAAAAAA